CUACGGGGUGCAGCAGUGGGGAAUUUUGCGCAAUGGGGGGAACCCUGACGCAGCAAUACCGCGUGAGUGAAGAAGGCCUUUGGGUCGUAAAGCUCUUUUCUGAAGGAAGAUAGUGACGGUACUUCAGGAAUAAGCACCGGCUAACUCCGUGCCAGCAGCCGCGGUAAUACGGAGGGUGCGAGCGUUGUUCGGAUUUACUGGGCGUAAAGGGCACGUAGGCGGCCUGGCAAGUUAAGGGUGAAAUCCCGGGGCUUAACUCCGGAACUGCUCUUAAAACUGCCAAGCUAGAGAUAGUCAGAGGCGGGUGGAAUUCCUGGUGUAGAGGUGAAAUUCGUAGAUAUCAGGAGGAACACCGGUGGCGAAGGCGGCCCGCUGGGGCUAUUCUGACGCUAAGGUGCGAAAGCGUGGGGAGCGAACGGGAUUAGAUACCCCCGUAGUC
rnacentral:rRNA from 1 species